UAAACAUGAAAAAUACAGUCUUUAAAAAUUCACUGAAUGGGUUAAAUAGCAAUUUCUAAUAUAGAGAUAAUUAGGAGCCUUAUGGCAGAUCUCAUCAAAUUAGAUGGGGGUGAGCAGACAAGGAAUGGCAGAUGACAGCUUGUCUAGAAGUUCUGUACUAUUUGAAGUAUUGUUGAAGGCAUUUGUUACUUGGAGACAUUAUUUAAGAAAUUAAGCAUGUUUAUGUACUUUAUAAAACUUAACAGAAGACAAUAUCCUAUGUCAUUUAAUGCUCGUAGGUAAGGGCUCAUAUGAGAAAUUACUUCUUGAAUCCAUUCACAGGAAAAUGGGAAUCCAGAGUGCCUCUCAAUGCAAGAGUUCAAGGAGAAUUUCAGUGUUCAAUAUCGUCGGUAAUCAAGGCCAGCUGCCAUACAGUAUUGCUGCAGAACAUCAAGUAACUAGAGAAAAGG